AGAGUAUCUCAGCCACAGACACAGAGAAGACUUCAGACUCCAGAUUCCAGACUCCAUCUUUGCCCAGUCUCAUGAUGGCUCUCCUGACUUCAUUAAUUCUCCAUCUAAAGACCAACACCCAUCCAGAGAUCCUCCAGAAAGCUAGCCCGAACAUUACAGGAAGAUGUUGACAUUGUUGAACUGUACAUAAUACCACAAUUCUGCUUCCUAUACAUUACUUACAGAAAGAAAAGUCUCAAUCAUGCCUGACUCUUUGUGACACGAACUUUUCAUGGCGAAGAUAUGGAGUAAUAUGAUAUUUCCUUCUAAUACUCAUUCUACUGAGGGAAAACUGAAGCAAAGAGAAUUAAGUUGAC